rnacentral:rRNA from 1 species
UAGAUACCCUGGUAGUCCAUGCCGUAAACGUUGGGCACUAGGUGUGGGGGACAUUCCACGUUUUCCGCGCCGUAGCUAACGCAUUAAGUGCCCCGCCUGGGGAGUACGGCCGCAAGGCUAAAACUCAAAGGAAUUGACGGGGGCCCGCACAAGCGGCGGAGCAUGCGGAUUAAUUCGAUGCAACGCGAAGAACCUUACCAAGGCUUGACAUGCAUUAGAUCGCGUCAGAGAUGGCGUUUCCCUUCGGGGC